UACGAAGGGGGCUAGCGUUGCUCGGAAUCACUGGGCGUAAAGGGUGCGUAGGCGGGUCUUUAAGUCAGGGGUGAAAUCCUGGAGCUCAACUCCAGAACUGCCUUUGAUACUGAAGAUCUUGAGUCCGGGAGAGGUGAGUGGAACUGCGAGUGUAGAGGUGAAAUUCGUAGAUAUCGAGAGGAACACCUGUGGCGAAGGCGGCCAACUGGACGAGUACUGACGCUGAGACACGAAAGCGUGGGGAGCAAACAGG
rnacentral:rRNA from 1 species